rnacentral:rRNA from 1 species
GACGAACGCUGGCGGCGUGCUUAACACAUGCAAGUCGAGCGGAGCGGCGAACGGGUGAGUAACGGGUGAGUAACCGCCCCCCUCUCUGGGAUAACAGUUGGACACGGAUGCUAAUACCGGAUAGUCGGGGAUGAAUCGCGUCCUCUCAGUUUGUUGGUGGGGUAGUGGCCUACCAAGGGGACGACGGGUAGCCGGCCUGAGGGGGCGACCGGCCACAUGGGGCUGAGAUACGGCCCCAACUCCUACGGGGGGCAGCAGUGGGGGAUAUUGCAAAAUGGGGGAAACCCUGAUGCAGCAACGCGCGGGCGUGAUGACGGCCUUCGGGUUGUAAACCGCUUUCAGCCAAGACGCGGUAGUGGCAGAAUAAGCACCGGCUAACUACGUGCCAGCAGCCGCGGUAAUAC